CAGCCGCCGCGGGAAUACGCAGGUGGCAAGCGUUGUCCGGAAUUAUUGGGCGUAAAGGGAGCGUAGACGGUUAAACAAGUCUGAAGUGAAAUGCCGGGGCUCAACCCCGGAGCUGCUUUGGGAACUGUAGAACUGGAGUGUCGGAGGGGUAAGCGGAAUUCCCAGUGUAGCGGUGAAAUGCGUAGAUAUUGGGAGGAACACCGGCGGCGAAGGCGGCUUACUGGACGACAACUGACGUUGAGGCUCGAAGGCGUGGGUAGCAAACAGGAUUAGAUACCCGUGUAGUCCCUGUCUCUUAUAC
rnacentral:rRNA from 1 species